rnacentral:rRNA from 1 species
UACGUAGGGUGCGAGCGUUGUCCGGAAUUAUUGGGCGUAAAGAGCUUGUAGGCGGUUUGUCGCGUCUGCUGUGAAAAUCCGGGGCUCAACCCCGGACUUGCAGUGGGUACGGGCAGACUGGAGUGUGGUAGGGGAGACUGGAAUUCCUGGUGUAGCGGUGGAAUGCGCGGAUAUCAGGAGGAACACCGAUGGCGAAGGCAGGUCUCUGGGCCACUACUGACGCUGAGAAGCGAAAGCAUGGGGAGCGAACAGG